rnacentral:lncRNA from 1 species
AUGGUAACCAUGGUAACCACGGUUGAAGGGAAGCAGCUAUUAUUAACUACUGAAGGUCCCCAAUGGAAGAGUAAAUAUGUAUUGGUUUCCAGCCUACUUUGCCCAAUCGUCAGAAACUGCUGCACUUGUAGAUUGGCUAUGACCUUUCUUAAUGAUGCUUUGUACCAUCAAGAAGCACCGAGCCUUAAGGAAGUGCCUCUCCUCUUAAUAUGAAAAGGCUUUUGAAGACUGCAGAGGCUGGGAAGACUGGAGCUGGUGGGAGUUCCUAAUUGAUAAUAUACCCCACAGGACACUUGUCUUUUUAAGGAUAGCAUUUCAGCAGCUAUCACCAGGGAGUGGUGGUGGAUGAUUUCGGAAGAGAAACCAAUGCCUUUAAAACUCUGAGUACUUAACAGUUGUAAAAUCAUGCCAUAGGCAGAAGAGAUGGCACACUCCUCUAGAUACAUCAUCACCCUGAAGUCUGAGGCAGGGCGGGUCUAAGUUGGAGGUCAGUCUAAGGAACACAGCAAGCCUGAAGCCAGCCUGAGCCAUGCAGAUCCUGCCUCAUAAACAAAAACAAGCAGGACAACAACAAAUGCACACAAAACUAAAAAAAAAAUUAUAAAGCAAAAAGGAGAGAAAUUAUUUGUUCAUAUGUCUCUUUUUGUACUUGCUCACUCAAGGGGGUAAUUAAUGUGUGGAGGCAGACAUCCAUGGCUCUGGGGUGAUCAACACAAGUUCGAAGCUAACCUGGGCUACAGGAAGUUCUAGAACUAUUAGUGGGCAGAGCAAGACCUUGUCUGAAUAGAUGAUAGACAGAUAGCUGAUAGAUAUACAUGAUUGAUAGAUGAUGAUGAUAGAUAGAUGAUAGAUGAUAGACAGAUGGCCUGGAGAGAUGGCUUUCAGUGGACAAAUGCAUUUGCUGAGAAAGCCUGAUGAUUUGGGUUCACUCCUCAUAAUCCAUAUGGUGGAAGAAAAAUGACUCCCAUAAG